rfam:Biomphalaria glabrata isolate BB02 unplaced genomic scaffold LGTN_random_Scaffold4533, whole genome shotgun sequence.
GUGGGCUAUGGUGACGUCGCUCCAAAAGGACCAAUGGGAAAGCUCUUAGGCUCCAUGUGUGCAGUUGCUGGAGUUCUCACAUUAGCGAUACCUGUCCCCAUCAUUACAGAGAAC